AGUGUUGUAACAGUUAAGCAUGUAUUUUUCAUCAGUUUUAAAUUCUCAUUUCAGUUACACUCCACUACAACACAGCAGUCUACACUUAAUGUUAUCCAACCCUUCCCAUCAUCAGCUGCAUGUGAGAAGUGAACAGGUGUGUUUUUAGAGGCGCCAUUACACUGACUUGGAACACCAGGCCACUGUUUCCGAUUAGUGAAGACUCACUAAUCUAGAUAGCACUGUGCAGCUGCUGAUCCCCAAUCUGUACCAAACUCGUGUGCCUCUAUUGCUCUCCCCCCCCUUCUCUCUUUCCACACAUACACACACUGACCCUGACUGCCACAUCUCAUCAGGACUACUGUUAUUUGGUAGAAGACGUAAUAAAUGCCAUUUUGGGAUUUAAAUAUCUAAAACUUACAAUACUACUAUUAUACAUUUUGUUGAGUACUGCUGUUACAUUAGACCAUGAAACAACACAUUUUAAAAUUCUAUUCAAGGUAACAUUUCAUGUUGUCACCCUUUGCUGGCAUCAUCUGCUUCCUGCUCCUCUUCCAGAGCAAACCCCCAUGAAACCUAAGAGUGAGGAAGGAAAUAUUCCAUACUACAAGUUGGCCAGUGUGUUGUCUAUUGUUUUACCAUUGUGUAUAUUUGUCACUAAGUGGAUCAUAAGUACAUAAGUAAGUUCUGGCACCAAAACUCUCCCUGUAAAGCCCAAAGGCAAAAGGUGAACCAAACAGAACAGUAUCUAUGAUCUCAUGCUGCUUCCUGACAUCUGCAACUAAACUGUAACUGUUUUGAUUGGGAGACCCCUAGUGGCAGAAAUGGCAUACAUAUAAUGUCAAUCAAUCUUAUCUAGAGCACAGACUCUGGUGUAUGUAUGACACUGUGUUCUGAAAAUGUGUCAGGAAUCCCUAGAUAGAUAGUAAAAUAAAUUCAAAGUACAACUAACUCUCACUUCACAUAGUGCAUCUGAAACAUGUUAUUACUUACUGACUUAUUACUUGACUUUGAUUCUAUGAACUGAAAUAGCAGCAGCCACUUAAAAGACCUGAUUGUCAUUUUUUCCUUUUAUACAAUGCAACACUCUUUUUGUAUUGUAUAAAAUAGACCCUUUCAAGAGCUACGUCACAAAAAUUUCCACGUGGAGUUUGGGGUCUGAAAACACACUAGUACCAUUAACUUGCCUACUUUCUAGCAUAGCUGGCUGUGAAAAUAGAACCAACAAUGGUGUCAAGUUCUUCAGAAUCCCUACAGGAUCUCAUCCCUUUAAAAAAUUAUUGAAAUCGUCUGUGGCUCCAAGCAUUAAAAAGAGAAGACUGGGGUGAUACUACUGCAGUCAAAGAGGCUUGCAUUUUUAGUGUUCACUUGAUUGUAAGUUAUCAUUUAUCAGCUCUUUCUGUUAGAUUAUGAUGAAAAGCCUGGAUUUCACCAAAAUGUUUGUGUCAAUGCACAUAUGUAUAUGAAACUUAUGCUGCCUAAAGUUAUGUUGUGGUCUUGGACGUAGCUAGCUUGUAGUCAACUGCCGACCGGCUAGUGCGCUGAAAAGUAAACAAGGUGUGCUAAAAAUGUUCCUUGUAAGACUUGUAUGCGCAUAGGCUUUGCCACUGGAUAUCUGGCCACUUGCUAAUAUCAUCUACCCAAUCUUUUAUGGAAGCUGGGUCGGGCAGACUAUUGCCGUCAAGAACAUAUUCAGAAUUAUUUGGUGGAGGACCGUGGACAUACAGUACAUGCUAUACCUGCUAUACCACUUACCUCUUGUGACGUUUUCUGACCCAAACUGCACGAGCAUUCUCGCUAGGCUUGCAAUGUUUGUAUACAAUGAAAUACAACAUUGUAUUUUAUGGCUUUGGUUUGUUUAAAUUUGAAAUAGCCUUUUAUUUUUUUUAUCAAGAAUUGGGCUUGCUGUGUUGUCUUUAUAGUUCCCUUUUCUUUUUUUACACCAACCAAUCUCCUCUGUGUAUCUUACAGCUUUCUUUUGAGCACAAGUUAGUCUGUGACAUUUAGGAAUGUGACAAAAUCAUUCAAAGUGACAUAAGGCAGAUAAUCAGGCAAGUUGUGAACAGUAAUUAUUGUGUCAUUUUAUCUAAACUGCUUCAUUUUAAAUUAAAGCUCAUAAAAGGCAGCAACCAAAACACCACAGGAAAUCAGUUAGUACAAAUCAAUGGCAAGUACAGAAGGUCAAUGUUGAGCUAGUGUGAACUAUGAUCAAUUCUUACAAUGGCCAGUUUGGCAGACCACUUAACUGUUGUCCAUUGUUUCCUUUUACAGACACAGUAAGUCUGGCUAAACUGGGGUCUGUAUAAAACUUGUGUGACAGCUUGCAAUUCUUGCCCAGUCCAUUUUUGUUUGCUUAACUGUGUUCCAAGAUCUCAGCAAUUAACUUGGUGAAAAAUGUAAAUGAAACCGAUAAAACAAUGUAUAAACACAAACAUAAAAGCAGGUUGCAUUAGACGUUACAUAAGUAGAUCCUAAAUGUUAUCUUUGUCUUGUCAAAGCAGUGGCGAUGGCAGCAACAAACCUUCAGCAAAUUAUACUGCAGCUUUUUUUUUAACCAACGUCAAAUUUGACACAUAAGGUCCAUCUUCAAGCAGCUGAGGUAAGUCUAUUCUAAUCUACUAAAACCUCUCCCCUCUUCUUCACUGCUGCUGUAUCCCGGUCAUUAUUUCGUAAAAUGACUGAGGAGUAGCUCAUCCUGACAAGAUAAGGACUUCACCAGUUUCUUCCUGUAAACCAUUUAUUUUUCUGAUCCUUAUCAUUUAUUCACUUAAUCAUAUAUUGUGCUUGGUGUGAAUAAAAAGGUUUAAUCAAAAAUAAAAAUAAAUGAUCCGCAAAUUUGUGCGACUCAUUCAUUUUGCCGUUAAUGUGCAAAGGCCUUAAGUCCUCAAUGCAGGCUCAACUCUAACUGACGAGAAACUUACCCAAAAGAGAAAGUUGAAAGUAAACAGGAGGUAUUUCAGACAGAUGGUUCCACAUGUUUUCUUCUUCUCUACGCUGGCCCCCAUGCUGCAAAAGACAACAGACAGUUUAAGGUCAGUUAUGAUAGCAUUAUGAUACACUAGGAGUGAUAUCCAAGUGCUACAACAGUCAAUAUUUACAAAAAAAAAACAUACAAUGAGUUAGUACUGAUGUCUUUCACAGAAAAAAGGGAUGUAAAUAAAUGUGACAAAUAUGGCUCUUUCAUUUAUUCCUUGAUCUACACAAUCAAUGUUUGUUAACACAGGAUGUUGAAACUAUCAUCUGAUAUGUUGCCUUCUUACAAUAUUUUUCUAAAAACCAAAUAAAAUCCAGAAAGAAAUAGUACCUAGAAAAUAUCUGAAUUUUUCUUUGAUGUGAAAACCAAAAUAAUGAAAGAAACAGGCACAUACUGAACAGAGAGUGCACUAGUAUGUUUAAUUAAGUUCAAUGAAAGCAGGUUUACUUGGUGAAGGCCCCCUUUUAUUUAAGGCAUCAAAUAAGAUGUAGCCUUCCUGCUACUGUGAGAUGCUUUUAACAAAUGAGAUGUUACAGGGCUAAUGCAGACCAUGGGGGAGUAAACACCAGAUCAGCAGUGUAGGCAGAAACAAUGAGCUGAGCCAUUUCAUGUGUAUGCAGAAAGAUUCAUGACUAAGCACUGAGUAGGAGUGGAAAGGCUGCUGAAGGCUAGAACAUACACCCUUAUACCCUCUUGCCUCUCUAGUGCCUGGUACAAAUAUCCAACGCUUCCUGACAAAAAAUCAUCUUCUAUUUAGAGCAGGGUCAUUUUAAAAGAUGACAGUUUAUGUUAAAAACAAUAAUUAGUGCUUUCUAUAAAUACAAGAGGGAUUUCAAAACAGCAACUCAUUAUCAGUAAUAGAUCCUGUUGUUUCUUGGUCUCUCUCUGUUUCCCCAGGUCUCACAUGGUUUUAUUAUAACCACACAAUUUUCCAGGCCUUCCUGCCAGUCAAGCCAAGACUCGCCCGACUUUGACUGCCUCCUAUCAAACCCUUCCUCCCCUCCUGCUCUCCCACCUUUAUUUACACAAGUGUCAAUUCAGACAAGCACACUGCAUGAUUGAGUGAGUGUGUCUGGAUUCUCCAUGUUUACCAUCUGUUAUUGUGGGCCCUUUUAGCAUGUGCUGGCUAAUUAAAGUCCAAGUGAAAGCCUUUA